AUUUAUAGAUGGUCAGAGGAGUGCAGCUUAAAUUCCGAAUAGACCUAAGACUUUCAAGAAACGCAAGUGUUUCAAGCAGCUGAAGUAAAAGCUGAUGUAUCGUAUUGGCAACACUCAAUAUGUUUUUCGAUGAACUUAGCACCUUACAAAAACUGACAAAAGUCAACUAUUCAUUUCACAACACAGGGAGCACCGAACUAUUUUAACCUACCAUCUUGAAUAAAUCAAUGUCGUAAAUUUAUGUACAGUCAUUGUGCCAGUGUGCUAAAAAGUAAUGAAACUAUUUUUGUAUGCAUGAUUAAAUAUUUUUUUGAGUUUGUUAAGCUAAUAAAUAUUUCGAAAAUUAUAAAAGAAAAGGAAUAUA
rnacentral:lncRNA from 1 species